rnacentral:lncRNA from 1 species
CCUCUAGCUGCUUCCUUAGCAGUGCUUUGUACAUAAUAAUAGCUUAUUCUAUUUUUCCCACUGGGGAGGCAGAAAAUAAAGUUAAUAUCAUCCUUCUAUCAGAAACAUUAAGGCAAAUUCAUUCAUUCUGAAAUCUUAUUCCUGGUGUAUGUGAAGUUGGGGGUUAGAUAUGGAAUACAGAGGAAAUGAAUAUAGAGAAAGUAAUUAAUAUUGCUUUAUAAUUUUUUCAUAUAUAUAUUUCUAUAUACAUAAAAUAUGUAUAACAUACUUGGCCAAAAACAUUGUUCCAGCAUCAUUAAUUCUUUAGAGGAAGGCAUUUUAUUUACAUAGUGAGGAAGCCAGAAUUCUCCUAUAUUGGUUGCACUAAGAGUUCAUGUCCAGCACUAACAUAAACUCAGGAUAUGGACAAACAUGGCUGACGGGACCGUAAGAGUAUCUAGGAGAAAGCUAAACUGCAACGACAACCUGAGUAAUGUGAGUUUUCAUCCAGGUCACCCAUAUAAGAUCUAAAACCUAGAAUAUUUGGCCUAAGUUAGGGGAAGGAACAAAGUUCACAUGACAAUACUUUAAAAGAUGUGACAGACAAUUUGAUUGUGUUCUUUUACAUCUUAACCUUUAUACAAAGGAGUUUUGUCAUUAUAGCAAUUCAAAGAAAGAAAAACAACUAGAAUGGACAUAAUUGAACAGAAAUCGGAGAGGAGAGGUUUACUUAUAGGUGAAUAGUUUAAACAGAAUUUAAACAGUUUAUCAGUAAGUAUUCUUGUCAGCAGACUGUUCUGAAACUUCUUGGCACAGAUUUUUCCCUGUUCUCUUCCUGCUGCCUCCUAUUAGAUAGCUUCCUCUUCUUUAUCCAGACAACUACUCCCUACAGCCUCUUUCUUUGCUUUGCUCAUUGGAUGGUGUGUAUUUCUUCUAAAGAGAUUACACUGGAGACUUGUUUCAUUCACCUUCUAGGCACAUGACAUGACUUUCACCUUUAGCGAGCUUUCAUAAUGCUUUUAGCUGUGGAAAGUUACACAAACUAAUUUAUGUCUAAGGAAGCAAAUAGAUUAACUUAAUGCCCUACAAAGGAUAUUAUAUGGCAUUCAAAGGCAUUCUUCAACAACAUUAGGAAGACAAUUUAAAAAUGAAUCUUCCCAUUUCAGGGAAGGCUAUGAUUUUAUUCAAAUGAAAUUUGGUACAUUAUCUAUCCAAUGGAGAUCUCCAGGAUUUGGAAUUGCAUACUGUAGUUAGUGUUAACCUUCAUUUAAUGACAAUCAGCCAAUGCAGAAAAUGGGAAAAUAGGGAUGGCAUUUUAUGUGGCUUGAUAUUUUUGUGUUGGAAGACACUGUUUUCAAUCAACAGGUGUGGUCUUCUAGGUCUGUUCUUACAAGAACUUCUGGCUGCUGUCCAGGUUACUCAUAAGCUGCACCUGUCAGACACCAAAGUCUUCCAUCUACCCCUCGAAGAGAAAAAGAGAGUGAGUAAGAGUGUUUUGACUCUUUCAUUCUUUUAUGAGUUUCAAUUUAAAAUGUUUAUUUUAUUCACACAGAGGCCCAGAUUUCUUUCAGAGAACAAACUCAUUACCAAUGUCAGAACUCGCAAAACCUGCUGUUGGGUCUGAAACACACAAGUUUACCUAUCAGCUUCCUCCCCCGCCUCCUACACCCACCCACUUUCAACCUGUUUCCAAUAUACACCAAACCUUCUCAUAGAGCUUUGGCAGGGACCUGCUUUAUGCAUUGCUGUAGUUCAAACAGAGCAGAACAACAAACAAAGAAUCUUUUUCCCGCACGUAACCAUGAGUGGGGAAAAUUAUUCCCCUAAAGGACACACCCUGAAAAACAACAGUAAAGAAGAUGGAAUAAAGCGAACAGAUUACUGCUUAAAAGCUCACACACCCUACCACAUUUAAACUUUUCCCUCUCUUGCUGAGCAGCAUUUUUUGUGUUGUAGCCUUAUCUUUGUCAGUAAAUUUUCCAGUGGCAUUCCAAAAAAAAAAAAAAAAAAAAAAAAAAAAAAAGCACAAGAUCAGACAUUGGAGAAGAGAUGCUGUAAGUUAUAAAGAAUAAAAGGGACAAUAGAAAUGCAUUUCUGUAAGUAAAAUCUUUAGUUCUACAUUUGGCUUAUGAUCUCAAAGAAACUACAGUUUCAUAGAGAACAGAGAACAUAUGUCCAACGUAUCAUGUAGCUCAUUUUCCCACCCCUAACAGAUCAAUACCGAUGGGAUUUAUUCUUAUAGCCCCUGGACAGAGUUGAUCCAGUACCUUUUUUUCUACAUUUUUUCUUCUGGUGAUCCCAUCUUAUAAAAAUCCUCUGGCUUCUGACAAGUGUUCCAAAUUCAACUGGAUAGCAGCUUUAGUCGAAUUCAUCUGUCAUAGACACUGAAAGGCAUUUUUGUGUCUUGUCUUCGGUAAAAUAUGUUGCCAGGAUGGUGGCUGGUGGCACCAUGUCAAGUUUCCUGCCUUUUGCCUUCAAGUCCCUACCUUUGGCCAUACUCUAAUUUGAGCAGGUGAGUGAUUUAGCAAGAUUUUGGUCUACCGUUUUCUUGUUGUGAGUGGAUCAGUUAACAAGGCCUGCAAUUAUCUCCCCACCAAACAACCUCAGUAAUUACCACCAAGCACUCUGAAGCAUUUAGAUAACACCUUUCUUUUAGUGAAGGAAAAGUCCUAGGACUUUUUAAAUGGUGUCAGAUUUAGUAUUAUGUAUCAUAUUAAAUGAAUGGGAAGGUGUAAUUACUGUUGUUUUUUGCUGUUAAAUUAAUCGUCUUUACCUAGCCUCAAUUUAAAAUCAAGGUAUGUAAAUGACCUUUAUGUUGGAUAUUUAGAUACAAUGUAGUCUUCAAAUUAGAAACAAGGCCUUCAUUAAUUUCCAGGCACAGAAAUCUUUUCUAUGCAUUGUUUGGGCCUUUCAUUUCUGUGAAGUCAUUUUAGACAAUACCAGGUCUUUUCUGAAGAGAAAUAGUUUUGUAAAAGCCAAGUGACAUAAAUCAAAAAGAAAAGGUAGCUAUCUUCAUCUGAAACUGUCAAGAAAAAUUCUGGUCAAUUUACAAGAGGGUGAUUAUAGCAAGGCCACUAAGAAAUGACUUCUAGAAAUUAAAUAUACCCAUUUAGUUAAAGCAUGAUUUUGUAACUACUGAGUAUUAGUGGCAAAGUUAAACUGAGUGCAUUUUUACGAUAAGUUUAAUAAUUGGACUGGGGAAAUGUGGAGAUGUAGAAAGAUAGAGCUCCGGAGGAAAAAGGAGAGGCUGGGAGAUGUGGAAGAAGAAAGAUGUAAAUAAAUCCAUGGACACUAACACCUAUUCUAUAUUCAAUCACAU